CUACGGCGGCACCAGUGAGGAAUAUUGCACAAUGGGGGGAACCCUGAUGCAGCAACGCCGCGUGGAGGAUGACGCAUCUCGGUGUGUAAACUCCUUUUAUAUGUCAAGAAAAUGACGGUAGCAUAUGAAUAAGCACCGGCUAACUCCGUGCCAGCAGCCGCGGUAAUACGGAGGGUGCAAGCGUUACUCGGAAUCACUGGGCGUAAAGGACGCGUAGGCGGGUUGGAAAGUCAGGUGUGAAAUCCUACAGCUUAACUGUAGAACUGCACUUGAAACUUCUAAUCUAGAGUAUGGGAGGGGGAGAUGGAAUUAGUGGUGUAGGGGUAAAAUCCGUAGAUAUCACUAGGAAUACCUAAAGCGAAGGCGAUCUCCUGGAACAUUACUGACGCUAAGGCGUGAAAGCGUGGGGAGCAAACAGGAUUAGAUACCCCCGUAGUC
rnacentral:rRNA from 1 species